rnacentral:lncRNA from 1 species
GAGCCAAUACCCUAGCUCCCUUUGUAACCUUCCAAGUACCACCAACAAAUAGUAUUGCAUGUCCUUCAUCAUCAAGUUGUCCAACAGAAAUCAGAUUCCUCCUCAGGUCAGGAAUAUGUCGAACCUUCUCCAGUAACCAAACAGACCCAUUGGGCAACGAUAUCCGGACAUCUCCUAGACCCACAACAUCCAAGGCUGAACCAUCAGCCAAAUACACCUUACCAAAAUCACCUGCAACAUAAUUCUGUAUGAUUUCUCGGUGUGGAGUGGUAUGAAACGAAGCUCCUGAAUCCAAAACCCAAUCAUCAAGUGGACUGUCUACUGUAAGAAGUAAUGCAUCCUGUACCUCUUCUGUUACAGCAUUAGCAGAAUCAUCUUCAUUCUUCUUCUUAGGGCUUUUGCAUUGCCUUUUAAAGUGACCUGUUUUCCCACAAUUCCAGCAUUGUACUUGUUGGCCUGAUCUAGAUUUGCUUCUGUUCCGAUUAGAAUUUCUGGAAUUUGAUCUACCUUGAUUUGUAUUUCUGUUAUUACCUCUACCUCUUGUCUCAAGGUUUAGGGCAGAACCAGAUCCUGAGGUUUCACCUGCAUCUCUUCGGCGAAUCUCCUCAGCCAGAAUUAAAUCUCGUAUAUCAUUGUACUUGAGCUUUUCUUUUCCCGUAGAAUUGCUUACUACCAUCCUCAUUGCCUCCCAACUGUUUGGCAAAGAAGCCAAGACGAUCAGAGCACGAAUCUCAUCAUCAAAAUCAAUUUCUACAGACGACAAUUGAUUUGUGAUUGUAUUAAAUUCAUUCAGAUGUUGUGCUACUGAUGCAUUCUCUGUCAUCUUCAAAUUGAACAAUUUCUUCAUCAGAUGCACCUUAUUGUUUGCGGACGGCUUUUCAUACAUACCGGACAAAGCCUUCAUCAAAUCUGCUGUGGUCUUCUCCUUUACAACAUUGUGUGCAACAAACCUAGACAGAGUUAACCUAAUAACUCCUAGAACCUGUCUGUCAAGAAGCGCCCAUUCCUCAGCCUUCAUACUCUCAGGUUUUGUCCCCAAAAGAGGCAGAUGCAAUUUCCUCCCAUAGAGAUAAUCUUCAAUCUGCAUCCUCCAAUACGCAAAGUCUGUGCCAUCAAACUUUUCUAUUCCAGACGCCUUUCCUGCUUCCUCUGCCAUUGCUCCCACUCAAACCUAAACCAGGCUCUGAUACCAGUUGUAGGGAAUUAAACCGAAUUCCCAACCCGUGAGAAACAAAAAAAAUUAGAGAAAACACACGCCAAAGAAAAACAAUCACACGCACAAGACAGUAUUUACGUGGUUCGGCAAUUUGCCUACAUCCACGGAGUUGUAGGGAUAUCACUAUUAUCAGGGAAGAAUUCAGAGUACAACAUGGCGGCUACAAUAUUCUCUAUAUAUAUAUAGCACGACAACCCUACCAUACUAAAAAACCCUAAUUACAAAAGGUGGUUCCACAAUGGGCUAAACGAGCCCAACAGGCCUCAAUAAAAUCUCCCAUUAAAAAGCCAUGUAAUAUUAUUCGGGUCGGGUCGUCAAACCGGAUCAAACAAAACUAGGCUCCACAAAGCCCAACACAACCAACGUGGUUUGAAACCUAAGGAAUUAGGUUUUUAUUUGUAUUCUCAUGGAAAAAAUUUCAUUAGCAUUACCACCACCACCACUACCAAUAGCAUUACCACCAUUUCCAUUGUUCAUUUCACCAAAGCCAUGAAAGACGUCAAAGCCAUCGUGUACAUUAUCCAAAUUAGUAAAUUGUUUAAAAUGAAGUUAAAAUAUUUUUGACAAGAAAAGAAAAUAUAGAUGGAAAGCAAAUAAAAUUAGACUUAUACUAUAUUUGGUUCUUAUAAACGUUUGAGCCUUUGUUUGGUUUCAGAAAAUUUGAGAGAAAAUGUAGAAGAAAGAAAAUAUAGAAAAAAAGUAGAAGAAAAUAAAAAAUAGAUUCAAAAUCAAUAAAUUAUUUUUAAAUAUUUUUUCAUGCUCAUUUCAUUUAUUUUUCUCUAUAAAGAUUAAAUAAUUUUAAAAUACAUAAAUUUUUAAUUAAUUUUAAUUAUAAUUAAUUUUAUUUCAUAUUUUUUAAACCAAAUAUUAGAAAACCAUUUUUCUUAACAUUUUUUUUUCUUUAAUAUUUCUCAAGAACCAAACAUAGCCUAAGGGUAAUCAUAAGAAAAAGAAAAUAAAAUGAAAAAUAAAUAACAGGAAAUAAAAAGAAAAAAAUAUUUAAAAUUAAUAAAUUAUUUUUAUAUAUUUUAAAUUCAUUUUACUUAUUUUUUAUUAGAUAAUUUGAAAAUAUAUAAAUUUAUAAUUAAUUUUAAUUAUAUAUAUAUAUAUAUAUAUAUAUAUUCAUAAUAAUUAAAUAUGAGAAAAUAAUUUUCAUUAACAAUUUCUUUUUUAUUUUUUUAUUAUUUUUAAUGAUUUAACAUAACUUUAAACUUUGAAGUUAUAAAUUAUUUUUGUAUUUUUUUUCAGACUCAUUUUAUUUCUUUAUUUUUAUUUAAAUAACUUGGAAAAUGUAUGCGCUUGAAAUAACCCAACAUGAGGGAUCAAUCCUUUGAGGAAUGUAAAACGACGCCGUUUUGAACGUAAACGAUGUCACAUAAGUAAAAGGGCACUCAGGGGAAGCUUGCUAAGGCUGAAGCUGAGGCUCAAUAGCGUGGGAGGAACCCAAAAGGAUGGCGUUCAUGCACCAAACAUUUUCUUCUCCUUCUUGUCCUCUCUUCUAUCGUAAACCCCAUUUCUCCAAAACCCUAAUAAGAUUCUCUGCAACUCCCUCUAGUCCUGUUCCCACUCCUUCCUCUCACUCUUCAUCCCCCAUUUUCCUCCCUUUUCUCCAAGAACAAGACCGAACACUCCAACACCAACGACAGCAGAAGGAAGAAGAAGACGAGGAUCCAAAUGACCCAAUUCUCAGAUUCUUCAAGUCUCGCACUUCAACCCAAGACCCCAGAUUCGAAUCCAAAUUCUCCCUCCAAAAGAAUCGCCGCCCCUCCUGGCGUCUCGCCUCCACCACUGACCCCGAAUCUGACGCCGAAUUCGAUGUCGAGGAGGAAAAAGAGCAAGUGGUUUCGGACUCAUGUACGUCACUCCAGGGCAUUUCUGGUGAAAUUCUUCAUUUUGCAAGGAAUUUGCCUGAGAAUUCAACGUUAGGGGAGGUUUUGGGGCCUUACGUGGGCAGAGUAGGUGAAAGAGAGUGUGUGGAAGUUUUGGGUUUGAUGUGUGAGGAGGAUCUUGUAAUGGGUUGUUUGUAUUUCUUUGAGUGGAUGGGGUUGCAGGAGCCGUCGCUCGUUACCGCUCGAGCCUGCUCGCUUUUGUUUCCGAUGUUGGGGAGAGCAGGCAUGGGUGACGACUUAAUGGUUUUGCUUAGGAAUCUACCGAAGACGAGGCAAUUCAGGGAUGUUCGUAUUUAUAAUUCAGCAAUUUCAGGCUUGUCGUCCUGUGGGAGGUAUAAGAUUUCUAGAACCUUGCUAUCAUAUAUGCUUUAGUCAUCUUUUUCAACGUUAUUUUACAAGUUAGAUUGAUGAUCAGUUUGGCACUUUCGUAGCGGAGAAAAACAUCUUCUAAUUGAUGAGUGUUGGAAUUGUGUCAACUAACUAUUUGCUAGUUACUAGCAAUAGGGGAUUUUAUGACAUCCGGACUUUCUCUGUUUUUGGCAUCCUACAUUAAGGGUGUGUGCCAUUUUUUCAUACGCAGUGUACCUCUUCUGCUAUCUGUUUCGGGUGUAUGAAUUAAGGGUUGUGUCAAAACUUUACCCAAACUUAUUAUUACAUGAUUUGAUGAGGUCUCUCUAAGUUCUAAAUAAAUUGCUUGGCGUUUUAAGAAUAGGGUUUAACUUCCAAAGUGCUCCAACUCAAUAUUCACUUUCUAAUUUCAGGUAUGAUGAUGCUUGGAAGGUGUAUGACGAAAUGGAAACAAAUAAUAUCCGUCCAGAUCAUGUCACAUGUUCUAUUAUGAUUACAGUCAUGAGGAAAGACGGGCAUAGUGCCAAAGAUGCUUGGGAGUUCUUUCAGAGAAUGAACAGGAAAGGAGUUAAAUGGAGUUUGGAAGUCUUGGGUGCUCUUAUAAAAUCGUUCUGUGAUGAGGGGCUGAAGAAUGAGGCCCUUAUAAUCCAAUCAGAGAUGGAGAAGAAAGGGAUCUCUUCAAAUGCUAUUGUGUAUAACACUCUGAUGGAUGCAUACAGUAAAUCCAACCGGGUUGAAGAAGCUGAAGGUCUCUUUGGUGAGAUGAAGGCAAAGGGUGUUAUGCCUACAUCUGCCACCUAUAACAUUCUAAUGGAUGCAUACAGCCGAAGAAUGCAGCCCGAAAUCAUUGAGAAUUUACUGUUGGAGAUGCAGGAUAUGGGCUUGGAGCCAAAUGUCAAAUCAUAUACAUGCCUAAUUAGUGCAUAUGGUAGACAGAAGAAGAUGAGUGACAUGGCUGCAGAUGCAUUCUUGAGGAUGAAGAAAGUAGGUAUCAAACCCACUUCACAUUCUUAUACAGCUCUUAUCCAUGCAUAUUCAGUCGGUGGCUGGCAUGAGAAAGCUUAUACAGCAUUUGAGAACAUGAAAAGGGAAGGAAUAAAACCUUCCAUAGAAACUUAUACUGCUCUACUAGAUGCAUUUAGGCGUGCUGGUGAUACCCAAACACUGAUGAAAAUUUGGAAAUUGAUGCUCAGUGACAAAAUUGAAGGGACACGGGUGACCUUCAACAUUCUUCUUGAUGGAUUUGCUAAACAAGGACACUACAUGGAAGCAAGAGAUGUGAUUUUUGAAUUUGGGAAGAUUGGUUUCCAACCAACAGUGAUGACAUAUAAUAUGCUGAUGAAUGCUUAUGCACGGGGAGGGCAACACUCAAGGUUGCCACAGCUAUUGAAAGAGAUGACGUCCCUCAAUCUAAAACCUGAUUCUAUUACUUAUUCAACAAUGAUCUAUGCUUAUGUUCGUGUUCGUGAUUUCAAGAGGGCAUUCUUUUAUCAUAAGCAGAUGGUGAAAAGUGGACAAGUACCAGAUCCCCAAUCUUAUCAGAAGCUGAGGUCAAUUUUAGAUGUAAAAGCUGCAACAAAGAAUAGGAAGGACAGGAGUGCUAUACUCGGGAUUGUUAAUAGCAACAUGGGUUUGUUGAAACCUAAGAAAGGAAAGAAAGACGAGUUCUGGAAGAACAAGAAGGGGCAAAGGAGAAUUCAAAGUUUUGCUCACGAUGGAUAGUGGUAUCGCAAUUCUUGGAAUGUUAACAUCAUAAAAUGGAAGGUUCUGCAAAGUAAGACCCAAAUUGUUUUCCUCUGCUUCAUGGACAUCAAAUUUCAGGUUGUCAUUUAGUGGCUUGUGAUUUGUAUAAUAGUUUUUGGAUGGUUAUGAGACAGUUCUUCCAUAUCACGGGACUGUAGAUGCUGCUGAGAAAGGAAAGCAUACACCCACUUCAGCUUUAAUGAUGAAAACCUUCACAUGAACCUUAUCAUCAUUUCACAAACAAUAACAUUUGCGGCGUUGAGUCUCUUUGCAAUACACCAGUUACACCACAAGGUAAGAAUUUAUCUUGAUUGUUUGAUGUCUGUUAAAAAAUUCUUUGUGAAACAAGAAGUUUUGCUUCAGUAUACCUGUUUGUGAUGUACAGAUCAUGUUAUUCGGUAUCGUCUUUGUUCACUGUUUGAUGUAUGUAUGAAAAAAAAUAUUGUUGCCCAAUUCCUUGGCUAAAAAACUUUGUAUCAGCUUUACUUUAUAUUUUAAAUUUUCUUUUAACUUCCCUGAUUUGGUCCAUGUCUUUCAUAAACAUGAAGAUGCCAAUUAGCCCAUCUGGCAAAAGUCAAAUUGUGUUGAGUAAAGAUAAGGUGGAAUUUCUUAGCCAACAUGUUCUAACCUUAUUUGUUCAUUUAUACUUUUGGUUAUUAUCAUUUCAUGCAUGGGCUAAAUAUUAAAAAUGGUUUACUUUGUCUCAUUUAAGAGGUUGCAUUUAUUCCAUUUUGGCAGGAUUUCCUCCAUAAGGGAGAGACAAGUGUGGCUCAUAUACUUGGAAAGCUACUUUGCUACUAUAUUAUAUUACCAAGUAUUGAGAUUCUCUUAUCUCUGAGAAAAGGAUUUUGUGGCAAACAGCUUAAAAGUUGACAAAGAAAUAAUUUGGUUCCAGUUAUUGUGUGUUACUUGCAUAAUAUCUAGACACAAAAAAUAUAUGGAAACGGUCAUGCUAUGGCUAGUCAUUCUUGUUUGUUCCAUGGCGUCCCACAUCCAGAUGUCAAUGGAAGCAACUAACAGUUUUUUAAUAUCAUCGCUGUUCUAAAAGUAAAUUUAUUAUUUGCAUCCUCACAAGGCAAUUUGCCAUGAUUCUUACUCCUCAUGUACUUCAUAUUUCAUUAUGGUUAUGAUGCUUAGUUCUGGAUGCUGAAUAUGUAGAUAUAAUUCACUGUGGAAGCUGAAAAAUAAACUUUGUUACUAAUUGUUUGAUAGUGAAUACCAAGAGAACAUGGAUUGUAAAAAUCAGUGUUAGUCGUGUUCAUAUUGCAUAUUGAUUGUCCUUUCAUUCUCAGUUUCCCUCAUCCCUUUUCUAUUUUUUAAUAUUCUCUCUGCCAUCACAUUUAUUACCUGUAAACAAGUGAAUCUGCAUCUCUAUGAGAAAACAGGGAUUUUCAUGUGCAUCUAUACCUUUACCUUUGGGACUUUUACAGUUUUAUCUUUAUUCUUGCAAUACAUGGAUGCAGUUACCAGGAUAAGAUAUUUCUAAAUUGACAGGGCUGACAUUUGGUCCGUUUUUCCAAACUUGGCAUAAAUACCUCUCAACGACAACGUAGACAUGAAAAUUAUUAUGUGCAAGUUAUAACUGUUCAUGACCAAAAUGAGAUCCUCUUGCUUUUUAGUAAGACUAUAGUCAAAAUGACAUUUAGGCCAUUUAAAGUAUUAUAAAAUGGUCUCUAACAGGUUGUCUUAUAUUAAUUCAAAUGACAAAGUUUGAAAACAGAGAACAAUUAAAUUCAAGAACAUGACAUUUGGGUAUAAAAUGACAUCAUUGUUCUAAUUAAAACCAUCAAACAGGAAAUGAUGCAGCUUUGGGUGUAUGCAGUAUGAUUUAGAUGUAGUAAUUUUUUUUUUCCAAAGAAACCGUAAUCAACUAAAAGAAUGUUUGACCAUGUGCGUACAGAUGGUGGAUGGAUCUAAUAUGUCCUCAGUUGUUGAACUUGUUUGAUCCUCAAUUGCUGAUCCCUGCUCAUUCACCAUAUGAAGUCUCUUUUUCCUAUAUUGAGAAUGUCAUUUUGGUAUUCUUUAUGAAUUUUCCACUUUCAAUUGUUAACUAGGUGUCCCGAGGGCUCCCAAUAUCACUUCAAGGGAAGCAUUUUCUUUGCUAUCUUGUUCUACAUUAUCUCAUUUAAUAAUUUUGUCGGUUGCUCCUCUCUAGGCCCUGCUGGUGUGUAGAGACACCGUAUAUAUAUUUAUCAUUAUCCUUUUGGGCGUUCAUGCAUUUAUGCUAAAUACCCUAUAUUGUUUGGCUUUCUCAAAGUUGAGCUCAUGAUUUCAUUUAUCUUGUCUUCAACCAGAUCUAUUAUAUUGUCUUGUCUUUUUUGUUUGACAGAUUCAUGUCAAGAAAUGCUUCAUCACACGAACUAACGGAGAAGGCAACUGUAUGUGAGUUCCAUGUUGGUGCCACCACAUCAAACUCAAUCAAGCCUACCCUACCAGACUUGGAUUCUUUUGCCAUGGAACGACCUCAUUUGCACCGCCCCAAGUAUGGGGUUUCAUGCCCAAAAAGCCCAUUGUAUGGGAUAAGUUCAUGACUAGCAUUAUGGAUGAAUUGAAUGGUUUUUGUGACUUUAAACAUAUAAAACUAUUAUACAUCAAGUACAUAUGGAACAUAUUAGCCAUUUCUUCCAUGUAUGGCUAGUCAAAUGCUUAGAAUAUAGUAUUAUUCUGUGGGCCUUGUGUUUGCUUUCAAUGAAAUAGAUUACCAUUUCCUGCCGACCUUCAACUUCUGUAUGCAGCCAGGGUCAGACUGCAUUGCUUUUCUUCCUUGUUUGAGCAUAUUAACUGAAUAUUUUGGCCCUGGGUCUAGCUCAGGGUAUUACCCUCUUGGCAAUCUAUCAGUAGUUCUUGUAUUUUAAGUGGUUUAGGGUAAAGGGGUGUCUCUAUUUCAUUUGUCUAUUUCAUUUGAGGUUUGCUUCAUUGGUAGUUACAACAAAUGUCCCGCCAUGUCUACUAAAAGCACUUCUAGUACAAAAUUAGUCAAUAAAAUUCAUAAAAACACAUUUAAAAGAGUUGAAAAAUCGUUUGUACUUUGUACUAUCUUUCUUUUGAGAAACGUAUGAUUGAUGAUUCUCCUAAAAAUAUUUUUAGCCAAAAUAUUUUCAUAAAAAAACAUUAUGAAAUAGACUUCAAAUAAAUUACUAUCGAAUUUCCUUUUAUUUAUUUAUUUAUUUAUUAUUUCCUUUUUAUGUGAGCAUAGAAGUAGAAUGGAUGAGAAGGAAGAGAUGGAGAAGAUGACAAGUGAUUAGACACAUAGAUACCUCUCUUAUCUUUGUUAAUAAUUCUUCACCCAUAUCUUACUUUGAAAAAGACAAAUCUAUGAGCUUAUGGUCAAACCUACUUACACUUUGUUUUUAAUAUAAUUAACCAAAUAUGGGUCUUUGAAGUGUUCAUUAGUUUCUUGACAAUCAUGGGAAAAGAAAGAAAUUCAUUGAACAUCUAGAAAAAAAACUAUUCCAUUUUGAGGAGAAGAACUGAUUUUUAAAUUGAGUAAUUGAUUUGAUUUUUAUGAUAAAGAAAAUUGAUAAGUUUUUUUAAGGGUUUUUCAUCAAUUUCAUAAAUAUUUCUUACAACAAUUAUUCAAAGCAUAUUUAAUUUUUUUUCCUUUAUCAACUUUGACUAAAAUAUCAAUUCAAAAAUACAAAUAUCUUUUGGAAAAUGUCUUUUUAAUAAAAAUAAUGCCAUAUUUUUGUUUUUGAUAUUCACGAGAAAAUAAAAUUGAAAUCAAAAUCAUGAUUUUAACAAUUUAAGGAAAUGUCUUUUUGUAAUGGAUGACCCUCCAAACCAUAAUUCAUUGAUAUACAUAUAGAUCUGGAUGAUUGAUGAAAGAUAGUGUGACUAUAAAUUUCUAGAUUUACUUUCUUGAUUUAUUUUUCCUUAACUGACAUUGGAAAUAUCUAGAUGACCUUCUUUCUAAUUUGGUUGUGGGAUAAGAUAAAUAGUUAUUAGGUUUUAAAUUUAAGGAUAAUCCGCCAAUAAUAAAGUAAAAGACAUUAAAAAAAGUCUUAUAUAUGAUUUAUCGGCUUUAGAGAGUAUUUGAUAAUGUUUUUAAUAAAAGUUUUUUUUUUUAAGUAUUUUUAAAAUAAUCACUUAUAAAGUGUUUAUCUAAAAGGUAAGUGAUUUUUAAAAUUUUUAAAAAGUUUUCUAAAAUUUUUCAAUUCUUAAUUUCUCUUCAAAAAUAUUUUUUAAAAUUAAAAAUAUUUCUUAAAAUUAUUAUCAAAAGACUCUUAAUAUCCAAAUUUGUAUAUUAAGUUAUUAAAAAAUAAUCUUAAUAAAGUACAAAAUAUUUAAUAAAUAAGCAAAAAAUCAUGUGCAUUUAUCGUUUUCUAACUAAAAUUUUCUACGCACUCGGGCCAAAAUCAUUACCAAUUAAAGAAACUAUAUUUCUUAUCCGGUUAAACAACUAACUAAAAACAAAUUUGGACGGAAAAAUCACCUAUUUUUUUUUUUUCAAAAACAAAAGCCAAAUGACUAAAAACUCCAAUCCUAUAACUCGUCAAAUGGGGGCCAAUUCAGUAAUUUAAACUAUAGAGUAUACUAACCCUAAACCGGGUACCCCUACUGGCCCCAGGUUUAGCUCCGGUUCAGACAGCGCUUCACCGCCAAUGCCACGCGGACAACCGAAACAGAUAUACCCAAAAACCGGUGACGUGUAGAUGUAACCGUAGCCUCCCUAUAAAUACUCCUCAUUCUCAUCCAUUUCCUUUCCAUUUCCCCUAUCUCUCUCUCUACUGUCUCUAUUUCAAUAUUUUCUCCCUACAAUCUUGUUCUAGAUACUCCAGGCCCCGAUCUCAAGUCUCCCGAUCUAGGGUUUCGCCUCUCUCCCUGUCUCUCUCCUCUCUGCUGUUCUAGUUUGGUUCCGGAAAGGGUUUGGGUUUUGGAGAUCCGGUUUGCUUCUCCUGUCUUGGCUCGAGAUCCGGGCCAAGCACAGAAGAAUCGGAUUAGGGUUUCGGUGCCGCUCACUUCCACUUCAUUGAGGUGUUCUAACUCUUUCUAUUUGGAUUUUUUUUUUUUUGGGUUUUUGUCUCUCUUGUGCGCUGUUUGGUUGCUGAGAAAAGAUAGGGAAAUGGAAGGAGUUGAGGAUUUUGUGAUGGAAAGGAUGAAGUUAGUGGAACUGUUUGGUUAUAGUUGAGUGCUAGGGUUUCCUCGGGGACCAGACGUUGGUAGUUUUGUAGUUGAGAUUGAUUGCGGUUACUGUUUUACUGUUCUUGAUCUGAUGGUUGAAAUUUUAUCGGUUGAGUCUAUGUUUAUGGCGGAUGGUUUGAAAUCCUGUUCGUGCUUUGCGAACGGUGAACAGUUGAUAGUCUAAUGCUCUUUUGGCGAUUUUUUUAAACUGUUGUGUAGGGUUUUGUGAGCGGAAAUGGCUUCGAACGAGGGGUUUUUGACGAAUGAACAAAGGGAAACGUUGAAAAUGGCAACACAGAAUGCAGAGGGUUUGUCCUCAUCGCCAAAGUCUCCAACGUCUUUGCUUUCUGAGCAUCAUAUAAAAGUUCCUGUCAGUGGCAAGGCGCCAACGGCUGGAAUUGCUGUGAGGCAUGUGCGUCGCUCACACUCCGGGAAGUUUGUUAGGGUUAAGAAGGGUAAGUAGGCUCAGGACCUUCCUAUUUGUUCUAAUUUAAUUGCUUGAUUAUGUAGUUUUGUGGAGAUUUAGUAGCCCUUGGUAAUUUGUGCAUCCUAGGCUUGUUUCUCGUGGAGAGCAGUGGUAGCUACUUUGAUUCUUUCUAUUACUUUUGGUGCUCUUAGUUGUUGAAUAUUUCCAUUUUCUGCAUUACGAUUUUCUAACUUCUAAUUCAAAAAUCUUUUUACCAUCUUAUGCUAUUAAGCCUGUGAGAUUUGAUAUGAGCUCUGUAAGUUAAGUUGGACAGUAAUUUAUGAUUUCAACAUAUAGUAUAGCAGAAGUAUUUGAGGAUAGUAUCAACUUUGUAGGCUGUUUGGAAGUUCAAUUAUUCCUUUUUGGAUGCUUACAUGGCAUUCAAGAACCUUGUAUCUGCAUUGUAGAAAUAAGACAACUGAUAUGUGGCUAAAUUGGCUUGUGUUUUAUGUGCCUAUGGUUUGGGAAGCUGCAUUUAAUUAUACGUAAUGGAUAUUUCGUUUAUCGUUAUCGUUACGGACAAUUACUUUAAUUUUUGUUUGUAUACAAAGAGAUCUCACUCCCUAUGAAGCAUCCAAGUAUGUCACUUAGUCGGCGGACAUGUCAUGUUUAAGUGCAUGAAUCCUAAUGAUCAUCACUUCCUAUCCUAGCACUAAAACCUAUGCAAUCUGAAUGUGAUAGCAGGAUCAAUUGACUGAUACUGACUCCAUUUUUUUGUUUUAUCAAUAAAUCUCUGGAAAUUUUGUUCUAGAGGAUUGGCGGACUGAAUUUUUUUCCCCUUUCCUUUUACCUUGUCAAAACUUAUCUUCCAUAUAUCAUUUUAUUGUUGCCCUUGAGGUUUGGCUCAAGUGGUAAAGGGAUGGGAAUGGGGAUGGUUUGUGGGAGGUUCCAGGUUCAGGUACCAAUGGUGACAAAAAUUUACCUAUUAAAAAAAAAAUCUCAUAUCAUUUUAUUCUUUUGUAUGUAAUCUUUGGUCUUGGGUUAGGGUGUCUAUAGUUUUGAGCUCUUCUUUUCUUGUAAGUUUCUUAGAUUGGUUAGGCUCUAAGUAAGGGAAGGUGGUGUGUUUCUAUCCUUUCCCCCUCGGAUCGCAUCUUUGGGUUGUUUUUGUAUUCUCUCUGUAUACUUUGAGGGCACUGUUUUUGGUGCUUCCUCUUCUCGUUUAAUAUACAUCCUUUUAUCUAUCAAAAAAAAAAAAUAAAAAAAUAAAAAAUAUGUGAAACAUAUUCCUAGAGUCCAUAGUUUUUUAGAGUUUCUUGAGACAUACAUCAAGAAGAACUAUAUAACGUACUAUUAUGUCGAUAGUGUAUCAUAUGCUCAUGUUUCAAAUUCUUAAGAAUUAGGUACUUGGCCUCAAGACCAUUACUAGACACCUUUAGGCUUGCCUGAUAUUCAUGGUGUGCAACUUGGGGUUGACUGAUAUUAGCAUUAUCAUGGCAAAAUUGAGUUUUAAACUCCAUUUUUGGCUCGGUGGUUGACAUUGGAAAAUUUCAUAUUCUUUUUACUGAAAAAGAUCCUUCUUGAGCUUUAUUUUGUUCUCAAGUAUAUAAGAUGGUUUGGAAAUCUCUUCUUUCGAAACCUUUUUCCAAUCUUUUCAAGGGGUACUGAGAAAUGUUGAAGUCUGCCCAAAAAAUAAAAUAAAAAAUUAUGCAUUAUUUUUCUGUGAUAUCUUUCCAUUUUUGAUGAUAUGGAUGCUUCCAUCUUCUUUUGGAAGUUUCAUCUAUUUUUCUCCAUACCAAAAAUUUUGUUUGAUAAUCUUCUAUAGGCGCUUCAUCUUCAACAUCAUUGUAUACAUGUUCCACCUUUUCAUCAGUAUGAUUACUUCUUUAUUUUUAGUUUUUAAUAGAAAAUAAGGAGAUUGUGAUAUUGGUUGAACAUAUAUUUUGUCCAUUAAUCUUGGUAGCUUGUCUCCAGCUUUGGAUGACAUGUAUCUUAUAGUCCCAUUAAAUUUUAAAAAAACAAAAGUGAAAAUGUGAGUUGUUUCUUUAAGCUUACUAUGAUAAUUUAGUUCAUAAGCAUCAUAGUAUGAUGGUGUGACUCUGUUCAAUAUGUAAACUCUUAGUUUACUGGAAGAUAAUGGAUUAUCAUGAAAGUUGCUGUUACUAGUUCUUAUUGAGGCAAAAAGUUAUUCCAAAAAGUUCUAUCUGAAGUUCAAUUACAUUUUUUUUCUUUAAAAUUUGUACUUCUUUUUAAUAGUUGGGAAUCAUCCCAACAAUGAGACAUAUUCGAUCUGCCAGAAAAACAAACCUAGAUGAUAUGGGCCUGCUCCUUUACCGUAGACCACUUUAAUAUCAAAGGGGCUUAAACUUGGGACCUCUGGUUUGUUUCCAGAGAGCACUGCCCCUGAGCUACACUGGGGCCCUGAAGUUUAACUGCACUUUUAAACCUGUUCACUUCAGGAUGCAAAACCACUUUUCUGAAAAUUGUUCUUUGAACGUUUCUGAGACCAUUUUUAGGUCAUUGAAUUUUUUCCCUUUUUCUCCUUCAUAUUUAUUGACUGUAAUGGUUUGCUUGGCAAGGCUGGAGUAGGAGGAAAGGCAUCAUUGGAAUGGAUGGGAAUUUAAUUUUUAUAUCAUUUGAAGUCUGUUUUAGUUUGAGGAGAAAACUGUUAAUGGAUGAUUCCUCUUGCUUAAAUUCUCCUUAAUGUGGAAAUGAAAUGAAUGCCAUUUUGUUGCCUUUCCAACUUCUUAUUUCAGUCAUAUUUUGCCCUUUGGCUAGUUUGAAGGUUUGUAGAUCUCUCUUACGUACAUUCAUUCCAUGGUCCUAUCUCUUAUGAAUGUAUAUUUCAUGAUCCUCUCUUGAUAUGUAGAUUUCAUGAUCCUUUGAAGUAACAUUUUUUUUUUAAUCAGACUCCUACAUAUUCAUUAAAAAGAUUAAAUUUAUGAUCCUGACCAGCUUCAAAUUGACAAUGGUCGUCUUAUUGUCUUGAGAUUACCCUCAUAAUCUCCAUAUUGGGUUGAUAAACUUUGAAUGGAGCUUGGUUUGAAAUUUUUGUCUGUUAUCAUUAUUACUAAGCAAUGGCCUAAUUUCUCCAUCCCACUGUGAGAUAUUAUUAGUAUCAAAUUACUAGGUUUAUUUGAUAAAUGUUUGUUUCCUUUACAGUCUCCUGUGAUUACUCUUAUAAAUCCUGUAUAAUAAAUUCUCUCCACCUUUUUCUGUGUUAUGUUCCACGUGUGUAGUGUGCAUGCCUUUCUAAUAAUAAGUGAUUAAUUCUUGCAUAACUGGUUUAUUAUGCACCAUGGAAUGCAUUUAACAAUAUAGGUUCCUUAAUUUCCUAAUACUAAUGUGGUCAGCAUCUGUGACGUGAUUUAAAAUUACCAUUUUGGUUGGUUGCUUUCCAAAAAGGAAAAAAAGUUUCUAUUUUCACCGGCCAAUUUAAGAGCUUCCUAAAUCAACAAAAAGAGGGAAGGAGGAAAAGCAGUCAGUUAUUGUUAUUAAGAAAAGUUAUCUUCUUGGUGGAAGAUAAUUGAAUGAAGGUGGGUUUCUUUGUUUGGGAAGUUGCUUGGGAUAGGAUUUUGAUGAUUGAUCAGCACAAAAGGAGGGAAUGGGUUAUGCUGAACAGGUGUUUCAUGUGCAAAAUGGAUUAGAAUCGGUUGAUCACAUCCUCCUUCAUUGCCCUAAGGUAAGCAUUUUGUGGCAGCUAAUUUUUUGCUGUUUGGAGUGGUUUGGGUGCUGCAUGCUACAGUGAGGAAUCAUUCUCAGUUGGCAUGGACCUUUCGUAGGAAAGAAACGGAAAAAGGGUUGGAUGGUAGGCCCUUUGUGUGUGUUUUGAAUUUUUUGGUGAGAGAGAAAUAUGAGAUCUUUUGAAGAUGUGGAACGGUUGGACCAAACAAUCAAAUCUGCUUUUAUGAGUACUUAAAUGGAAUAGGUGAUUGAUCUUAAACCAUGAUAAGCUUUGUUGAUUGGCUUGGCUCCAAGGGAGAACAUUCUUUUUUCUGGUUUUCUUUCUUCCUUUGUCCUCCUAUUGGUGUCUAUUGUAUGCAUCUGUGUACCUUGGUGGGCCCUCUUUUUAGUUGUUGAUCAUAUACUUUCUCUUUGCCUGUUAGGGAAAAAACCAAAAGAUAGUUGCACAAUUUGGAAUUUGGGGCUCUAAGAAACAGCAAAAAUAAAAACGAGGACAUGGCUUGAAUUCCAAUUACUAGUACAUUAUCAUUCACUGACAAGAAAUAAAUCAAACUAGAAACAUGUGGAUUUAUUUUCUUGUUUCUGUUCUCUGUGUCCUCCACCAUACCACUGUUGGCAACAUUUACUGGCUUUCUUAUACUUCUCAUCAUGUUGUUUUUUAUUAUUAAUAUCUGAUAGCAGUGAUGAUAUUUGUAGCAAGAGAAUUGCUAUUCUGUUUGUAUGGCUUCGCUAAUGUCCUCUUCUUCCUUGGUAACAGAUGGUGCUGGUGGUAAGGGAACAUGGGGAAAACUGCUUGACACUGAUGGUGAGUCACAUAUUGAUCGAAAUGAUCCCAACUAUGAUAGCGGCGAGGUAUUUGCUUUUCUAAUUCAAUCAACCCUUCUCAUGCUUUUUGAUUUCUUAUACUAAUUAUGUGAAUGGCUAUAGUCCCAUCCUUCUCCUGCAGUGGAAUGGAGCUAUUACUGCUAUUACUGAGCUUAAAUAAUUUCAUUCCUUGAUUUCAACAGGAACCGUAUCAGCUUGUUGGGUCCACGAUUUCAGACCCCUUAGAUGAAUAUAAGAAAGCAGUGGUUUCCAUCAUAGAAGAAUAUUUCAGCACUGGUGAUGUGGAAUUGGCUGCAUCUGACCUCAGGGAACUGGGAUCAAAUGAAUAUCAUCCCUACUUCAUUAAGAGGCUUGUUUCUAUGGCCAUGGACAGACAUGAUAAGGAGAAAGAAAUGGCCUCAGUUCUGCUUUCAGCUCUUUAUGCUGAUGUCAUCAGCUCUGCCCAGAUUAGCCAAGGGUUUUUCAUACUUCUCGAGUCUGCUGAUGACCUUGCAGUGGAUAUACUGGAUGCAGUUGAUGUUCUUGCUUUGUUUAUUGCUCGUGCUGUGGUCGAUGACAUCCUUCCUCCAGCUUUCCUUACUAGGGCAAAAAAAACACUCCCUGAGUCCUCCAAGGGACAUCAGGUUAUCCAAACCGCUGAGAAGAGCUAUCUCUCUGCUCCACACCAUGCAGAACUUGUGGAAAGAAGAUGGGGUGGUAGCACCCAUAUUACUGUGGAGGAAGUGAAGAAAAAGAUUGCUGAUCUAUUGAGAGAAUACGUGGAGAGUGGAGAUGCUUUUGAGGCAUGUAGGUGCAUAAGGGAGCUAGGGGUUUCAUUCUUCCACCAUGAGGUUGUGAAGAGAGCCCUAGUUCUUGCCAUGGAGAUCCGGACAGCAGAACCAUUAAUACUGAAGCUAUUGAAAGAAGCGGCAGAGGAAGGCUUGAUAAGUUCUAGUCAAAUGCUUAAGGGGUUUGCUCGGUUAGCAGAGAGCCUUGAUGAUCUUGCCCUUGACAUUCCAUCGGCAAAAACCUUGUUUGAGUUGCUAGUUCCAAAGGCAAUCUCUCAAGGAUGGCUUGAUGCCUCAUUUCUGAAACCUGCAGGUGAAGAUGGGGAAGUACACAAU